UACGUAGGGUGCAAGCGUUAUCCGGAAUUAUUGGGCGUAAAGAGCUCGUAGGCGGUUUGUCGCGUUCUGCUGUGAAAACUGGAGGCUCAACCUCCAGCCUGCAGUGGGUACGGGCAGACUAGAGUGCGGUAGGGGAGAUUGGAAUUCCUGGUGUAGCGGUGGAAUGCGCAGAUAUCAGGAGGAACACCGAUGGCGAAGGCAGAUCUCUGGGCCGUAACUGACGCUGAGGAGCGAAAAGCGUGGGGAGCGAACAGG
rnacentral:rRNA from 1 species